UACGUAGGUGGCAAGCGUUGUCCGGAUUUAUUGGGUUUAAAGGGUGCGUAGGCGGCCUAUUAAGUCAGUGCUGAAAUAUCCCGGCUUAACCGGGAGGGUGGCAUUGAUACUGAUGGGCUUGAGUAAAGUUGAGGUAGGCGGAAUUGACGGUGUAGCGGUGAAAUGCUUAGAUAUCGUCAAGAACACCUAUUGCGAAGGCAGCUUACUAAGCUUAACUGACGCUGAUGCACGAAAGUGUGGGGAUCAAACAGG
rnacentral:rRNA from 1 species